UCCCUGGUGGCUCAAUGGUAAUGAAUCUGCCUGCAAUGCGGAGGACCCAGGUUCAAUUCCUGGGUCGGGAA
rnacentral:tRNA from 1 species